UUAGUACUCCCUCCGUCCGGAAAUACUUGUCCUAAAAAUGGAUAAAAUGGAUGAAUCUAUAACUAAAAUAAGUCUAGAUACAACCAUUUCUAGGACAAGUAUUUCCGGAAGGAGGGAGUACGAG
rnacentral:pre_miRNA from 1 species